CGCAGAAGGUCAAAGCCAGAUCAAAUAGAGAAGAGGAGGUCAGUCAGUUCAGUCUGGGCCGGGAAGAGCACACAUGGCAGCGGAACGACACACUGUAGGAGGGUGGAGAUGAGUCAAUGAGAUCAUCAGGAACGAUCUGUCAAGCAUCUCCGUCCACAGCCAUGCAUAGUUUACUGUCACCCUCACAACUGACAUGGGAAACAAAAGUAAAGGGAAUCACCAAGCAACAUCUGACAUUGUGCUUUUCAUGCUUGGACUACAGCAUGCAGGAAGCAGCAAAAGGAAGAGCAAGGAGAACAAAUGUAAAUUUAUUGUCCAGAUGACCAGGGUCCAAUGUGUGCCUUGUUUUUCAUAUAUAAUGCCUUUACACAGAAAUUAUCCAAGAAAUACAUCACAUGACUGACUUUUCUAAGACAUGGAAAUUGAGUAUGUACCAACCAAGCCUGCCAUCCCCAACCCAAAGUAUGCUUUUAGAGGACCAAAAAUGUUUUUAUACGUCUUUUUUGCUGCAGUUUGUAAAUGAUUCAGUGCCUAUGAUUUAUGUCAUUUGUAUAUACAGUAUCUGUAGUGCUUCAGUUGCAUAUCUGGCUUUACAGAGAGACGGUUUAAAAGAGAAGUGCCUUUUUGACUGGAAACAGAAAAUUGUAGCCUGAGUUUGGCUUCACCUUCCAACAUUUUCUUAAAUUAAAAUGACAAGAUUAUUUUUAAAGGGAGAUCAUGUGAAUAGUCGCUACAUAUGGCAAUUCUAGGAUAAUGUUGAAUGCACAAAUAAAGAAUUGUCUUAAAGUAAGCAAUGUGACCUAGCAUUAUACAGUAGUAUCUAGCUAAAGUUUGCUAACAUUAGCUGACGGUAGCCUCCAGAAGCUACUGAUCAUACCAGACAAAAUGAGGCUGUUGCAACUAAACAACUGAGUGUAUUGAAUUGAUCAGGGGUGUAUUUUAUUUGCUGAGUUCAGCAUUUCAUUUGUAAAAGGGUGAAUGGAUUAUUUACAUUAUAUACAAAAGUUGCAUACUUUCAUUUUAAAUCAUAUUUAGUUAGCAUGCCUGUAUGGAUAUUUGUUCGGACAACAAUUAAAAUUAAAAUUGAAUACAUUUUCUGUAUUCACAACCAACAAUAAGCACUUAACCACUAAACCUGUGGUAUUACUUGUAGUUAUUCCAUUGAGACAACAAGUCACUUGAAGUCACCCAGCAAUGAUAAAACUUUCCAGAUGAUGUAUUUACAGAAUCAUGAGUCAUUUUGUGUUAUUUUUCUAAAUAAAAAUAAUAUACAGUGUAUAAAGUAACAUGAACUUUGAAGUAAAUUUCUACAGUAAUAAUUGUUUGACUUUUAUCAAAGAAGAAAUCAUCUCAGUUUUGACAAAGCUUGACUUUUAUUAUUCCCUGGAAGCUAUGCAAUACACAGGUAGCAUUGGUCUCUCAAAGGAUAUAAACAUUCACCGUUGUAACUGAGAAGGUCUCUAAUCCAAAGAAUACUUACAGCAAUACAAAUAUAUACAUGCUUUAAUGUUUGUUUUUCUAUUUUCAUAUUUAUUCUCUUAGCAUGCGCUCUGUUUAUUCAUGUUUAUCAUCCGGCUUCUUUUACAUGCUUACCUAUUUACUGUGGUACUACUAAUUUGAUGGCACUCUUAUAGCAAAACUGAAUGGGCUUACACACUUGUUUGCAGUUUUAUAUGUAUUUAUGAGUCUUAAUCCUUGUCUCUGAAGGGCAUGAAAGAAGCGAUAUUGAAAUGUUUACCGAGGAGGUUAUUGUUAGUCUACAACUCAUAAUUCUGCUUUGUGAUCUAUUUUGCGUAUUUGUCAAUAAAUAAGCCUUCAUCUCUUU